UACGUAGGGGGCAAGCGUUGUCCGGAAUCAUUGGGCGUAAAGAGCGUGUAGGCGGCUCGAUAAGUCCGCUGUGAAAGUCCAGGGCUCAACCCUGGAAGGCCGGUGGAAACUGUCGGGCUAGAGUCCGGAAGAGGCGAGUGGAAUUCCCGGUGUAGCGGUGAAAUGCGCAGAUAUCGGGAGGAACACCAAUGGCGAAGGCAGCUCGCUGGGACGGUACUGACGCUGAGACGCGAAAAGCGUGGGGAGCAAACAGGG
rnacentral:rRNA from 1 species